UCAAUUUAUAUUUUAUUUGGCUUGUAAAAUGUGAAUUAUAAUUUCAAAUUUGUAUGAUCCAUACUCCAUAGCCUUAUUGAUAACUAAGUGCCCACUAGUCAAAAACAAUUAACAAGUUUGUUACUUUAUAACUUUGACGAAUUAAUAUUAAGAUGAAUCCACCAAAAAGAAAAAAUACUUUUAUGGAUAAGUUUGUUGGUAAAAUAUCUAAAAAUGAUGACGACAGAAGUACAACUGAUGAUCAAAUAUCUACUCCAACACAAGUAGCACCUUCUAAACUACAGGAUAUUAUUCAAAUGCAAGCAAAUAAUAAACAUGAUAUUGGUCUUUUUCUUGUGCUCUUGAUGUCUCAUAUAAUAUUUUGAUGAUACCUACGUCCUACAGUUAAUCAUAUUAUGGUGUCAUCUGCAGUUUGUAAUGAAUCUAUAAAAUACUAUACCUAAUAAUAUGUUAUGGCUAUGUAUAAUAUAAACUUUGCCCCCCCCCCCCCCCGGUGAAAAUUUCUGCGGGCG